UACAGAGGUCUCAAGCGUUGUUCGGAUUCAUUGGGCGUAAAGGGUGCGUAGGCGGCGCGGUAAGUCGGGUGUGAAAUCUCGGAGCUUAACUCCGAAACUGCAUUCGAUACUGCCGUGCUUGAGGACUGGAGAGGAGACUGGAAUUUACGGUGUAGCGGUGAAAUGCGUAGAUAUCGUAAGGAAGACCAGUAGCGAAGGCGGGUCUCUGGACAGUUCCUGACGCUGAGGCACGAAGGCCAGGGGAGCAAACGGG
rnacentral:rRNA from 1 species